rnacentral:pre_miRNA from 1 species
AUGGGUAUCGUGUCAUAUUACAUCACGAAUACAACCGCGGGAAAUGGAGGAAUUUUUGCAACAAGACCUGAUCCGAAGUACUGGAUUGUUUUGUAAUAGGACAAGGACUACAACCCAUCGCCCCCAGUUGUCGCCAAAAUUCUUUGAGAAACACCAUUUUGUCUCACUACCUAAUUGUAUCUGUGAUGUAAUAUGACAUGAUCCCAU